UCGGACGUGGUGCAUGGUGCAUACCUCUCCCUGGUAUUUGGAGCAUUGGUCGAAAAGGGGAGCCUGGGUUCGAUUCCCAGCGUCCGAA